CCCGAAACCCGGUGAUCUAGCCAUGGGCAGGUUGAAGGUUGGGUAACACUAACUGGAGGACCGAACCGACUAAUGUUGAAAAAUUAGCGGAUGACUUGUGGCUGGGGGUGAAAGGCCAAUCAAACCGGGAGAUAGCUGGUUCUCCCCGAAAGCUAUUUAGGUAGCGCCUCGUGAAUUCAUCUCCGGGGGUAGAGCACUGUUUCGGCAAGGGGGUCAUCCCGACUUACCAACCCGAUGCAAACUGCGAAUACCGGAGAAUGUUAUCACGGGAGACACACGGCGGGUGCUAACGUCCGUCGUGAAGAGGGAAACAACCCAGACCGCCAGCUAAGGUCCCAAAGUCAUGGUUAAGUGGGAAACGAUGUGGGAAGGCCCAGACAGCCAGGAUGUUGGCUUAGAAGCAGCCAUCAUUUAAAGAAAGCGUAAUAGCUCACUGGUCGAGUCGGCCUGCGCGGAAGAUGUAACGGGGCUAAACCAUGCACCGAAGCUGCGGCAGCGACACUAUGUGUUGUUGGGUAGGGGAGCGUUCUGUAAGCCUGUGAAGGUGGCCUGUGAGGGUUGCUGGAGGUAUCAGAAGUGCGAAUGCUGACAUAAGUAACGAUAAAGCGGGUGAAAAGCCCGCUCGCCGGAAGACCAAGGGUUCCUGUCCAACGUUAAUCGGGGCAGGGUGAGUCGACCCCUAAGGCGAGGCCGAAAGGCGUAGUCGAUGGGAAACAGGUUAAUAUUCCUGUACUUGGUGUUACUGCGAAGGGGGGACGGAGAAGGCUAUGUUGGCCGGGCGACGGUUGUCCCGGUUUAAGCGUGUAGGCUGGUUUUCCAGGCAAAUCCGGAAAACCAAGGCUGAGGCGUGAUGACGAGGCACUACGGUGCUGAAGCGACAAAUGCCCUGCUUCCAGGAAAAGCCUCUAAGCAUCAGGUAACAUCAAAUCGUACCCCAAACCGACACAGGUGGUCAGGUAGAGAAUACCAAGGCGCUUGAGAGAACUCGGGUGAAGGAACUAGGCAAAAUGGUGCCGUAACUUCGGGAGAAGGCACGCUGAUAUGUAGGUGAAGCGACUUGCUCGUGGAGCUGAAAUCAGUCGAAGAUACCAGCUGGCUGCAACUGUUUAUUAAAAACACAGCACUGUGCAAACACGAAAGUGGACGUAUACGGUGUGACGCCUGCCCGGUGCCGGAAGGUUAAUUGAUGGGGUUAGCGGUAACGCGAAGCUCUUGAUCGAAGCCCCGGUAAACGGCGGCCGUAACUAUAACGGUCCUAAGGUAGCGAAAUUCCUUGUCGGGUAAGUUCCGACCUGCACGAAUGGCGUAAUGAUGGCCAGGCUGUCUCCACCCGAGACUCAGUGAAAUUGAACUCGCUGUGAAGAUGCAGUGUACCCGCGGCAAGACGGAAAGACCCCGUGAACCUUUACUAUAGCUUGACACUGAACAUUGAGCCUUGAUGUGUAGGAUAGGUGGGAGGCUUUGAAGUGUGGACGCCAGUCUGCAUGGAGCCGACCUUGAAAUACCACCCUUUAAUGUUUGAUGUUCUAACGUUGGCCCGUAAUCCGGGUUGCGGACAGUGUCUGGUGGGUAGUUUGACUGGGGCGGUCUCCUCCUAAAGAGUAACGGAGGAGCACGAAGGUUGGCUAAUCCUGGUCGGACAUCAGGAGGUUAGUGCAAUGGCAUAAGCCAGCUUGACUGCGAGCGUGACGGCGCGAGCAGGUGCGAAAGCAGGUCAUAGUGAUCCGGUGGUUCUGAAUGGAAGGGCCAUCGCUCAACGGAUAAAAGGUACUCCGGGGAUAACAGGCUGAUACCGCCCAAGAGUUCAUAUCGACGGCGGUGUUUGGCACCUCGAUGUCGGCUCAUCACAUCCUGGGGCUGAAGUAGGUCCCAAGGGUAUGGCUGUUCGCCAUUUAAAGUGGUACGCGAGCUGGGUUUAGAACGUCGUGAGACAGUUCGGUCCCUAUCUGCCGUGGGCGCUGGAGAACUGAGGGGGGCUGCUCCUAGUACGAGAGGACCGGAGUGGACGCAUCACUGGUGUUCGGGUUGUCAUGCCAAUGGCACUGCCCGGUAGCUAAAUGCGGAAGAGAUAAGUGCUGAAAGCAUCUAAGCACGAAACUUGCCCCGAGAUGAGUUCUCCCUGACUCCUUGAGAGUCCUGAAGGAACGUUGAAGACGACGACGUUGAUAGGCCGGGUGUGUAAGCGCAGCGAUGCGUUGAGCUAACCGGUACUAAUGAACCGUGAGGCUUAACCUU
rnacentral:rRNA from 1 species